ensembl:lncRNA KRT18P55 keratin 18 pseudogene 55
AGUUAAGGCCUUUGUCCGUUGAGGUCAGGACUAGGUGGUCUCAGCCAAUGGGGACAGAGCGGUCACGGGGACCGGGUUUGCGCGGCUCCGAGGCCUAACCAGGCAGCCGAGCCUGCCUGCGUCCCGAGGCCGCCUUCCCGGGACCUCUGCACCCUCAGGUCCUCCGUUGGGUGGUGUUCGGGCGGCCGCCAGGCUUCCCGGCCCGCCACUCCCGCUGCCACCCAAAGGCGCUGCGUGCCGGCGGCUUGGUGGAGUUUCGUCGAGGCCCGGCAGGCUUGGGCCAGGAGAUCCAGCGGCCGGGCGGGGUCCCGGCUGAGAGAGGCCGAUGCCGCCGUCAGUCACCGAGAUGGGGUGGGGACGCUUCAAGGCCUGGGUCUGGCCAGGGGGCAGUCACAGCAGGGCCCUAGGGUAAUCACUUUGAUCAACAUGACGAAGGACACUUGGAAACUGAACAAGCAUCACUUGACAAGCCUACAGAAUCCAUAAGAUGGAUCAUUGCUUAAUUUCGGGUCUUAGCCAGUUAGAUUUACCUUCAGCUUUAACAAAAAAUUGGCCGUCAAAACCUGAGUCCUGUCCUCUUGCUCUCCUCCCCGGACAGCAUGAACUUCACCACUUGCUCCACCCUCUCCACCAACUACCAGUCCCUGGGCACUGUCCAGGCACCCAGCUAUGUGCCCAGCUGGUCAGCAGUGUGGCCAGUGUCUAUGCAGGCAUCAGGGGCUCUGGUUCCCGGAUCUCCAUGUCCUGCUUCACCAGCUUCCAGGGCAGCAUGGGGUCCAGGGGCCUGCCCGCAGUGAUGGCCGGGGGUCUGGCAGGAAUGGGAGUCAUCCAGAAUGAGAAGGAAACCAUGCAAAGCCUCAACGACCACCUGGCCUCCUACCUGGACAGAGUUAGGAGCCUGGAUACCAAGAACUGGAAGCUGGAGAGCCAGGAGCACCUGGAGAAGAAGGGACCCCAGGUCAGAGACUGGAGCCAUGACUUCAAGACCAUCGAGAACCUGAGGGCUCAGAUCUUUGCAAAUACUGUGGACAGUGCCCACAUUGUUCUGCAGAUCGACAAUGCCUGUCUUGCUGGUGAUGACUUUAGGGUCAAGUAUGAGACAGAGCUGGCCAUGUGCCAGUCUGUGGAGAGUGACAUCCAUGGGCUCCACAAGGUCAUUGAUGACACCAAUGUCACUUGGCUGCAGCUGGAAGCAGAGAUCAAGGCUCUCAAGGAGAAGCUGCUCUUCAUGAAGAAGAACCAUGAAGAGGAAGUAAAGGGCCUAUAAGCCCAGAUUGCCAGCUCUGGGUUGACUGUGGAGGUAGAUGCCCCCAAAUCUCAUGACCUUGCCAAAAUCUUGGCAGACAUUGGGCCCAAUAUGACGAGCUGGCUCCGAAGAACUUAGAGGAGCUGGGCAAGUACUGGUCUCCGCAGAUUGAGGAGAGCACCGCAGUUGUCACCACGCAGUCUGCCGAGGUUGGAGCUGCUGAGAUGACGCUCACGGAGCUGAGACAUACAGUCCAGUCCUUGGAGAUCGACCUGGACUCCAUGAGCAAUCUGAAGGCCAGCUUGGAGAACAGCCUGAGGGAGGUGGAGGCCUGUUACACCCUGCGGACGGAGCAGCUCAACAGGAUCCUGCUGCACUUGGAGUCAGAGCUGGCACAGACCCGGGCAGAGGGACAGCACUAGGCCCAGGAGUAUGAGGCCCUGCUGAACAUCAAGGUCAAGCUGGAGGCUGAGAUCGCCACCUACCACCGCCUGCUGGAAGACAGUGAGGACUUCAAUCUUUCAAUCUUGGUGAUGCCCUGGACAGCAGCAACUCCAUGCAAACCAUCCAAAAGACUACCACCUGCCGGAUAUUGGAUGGCAAAGUGGUGUCUGAGACCAGUGAUGCCAAAGUUCUGAUACCUUAAGCCAGCAGAAGCAGGGGACCCUUUGGGGAGCAGGAGGCCAAUAAAAAGUUCAGAGGUU